AGGAUAAACGCUGGCGGCGUGCCUAACACAUGCAAGUCGAACGCCCUACGCAAGUAGGGAGUGGCGGACGGGUGAGUAACACGUGGGAUAUCUACCCAGAGGUGAGGAAUACCGGCGAGAAAUCGCCGACAAUACCGCAUACGCUCCGCAAGGAGUAAAGCUCGCAAGAGCGCCACUGGAUGAUCCUGCGGUCGAUUAGUUUGUUGGUGAGGUAAUGGCUCACCAAGACGACGAUCGAUAGCUGGUCUGAGAGGACGAUCAGCCACACUGGGAUUGAGAACGGCCCAGACUCCUACGGGGGGCAGCAGUGAGGAAUUUUCGUCAAUGGGGGCAACCCUGAACGAGCAACGCCGCGUGCAGGAAGAAGGUUUUCGGAUCGUAAACUGCUUUUCUCUGGGACGAGCAAGGACGGUACCAGAGGAAUCAGCCCCGGCUAACUACGUGCCAGCAGCCGCGGUAAUACGUAGGGGGCGAGCGUUGUCCGGAUUUAUUGGGCGUAAAGGGUCCGCAGGCGGUUUGGUAAGUUUGACGUGACAGUUCCCGGCUCAACUGGGAAAGUGCGUUGGAAACUGCCAGACUUGAGGGCUUCAGAGGGAUGCGGAAUUCCGGGUGGAGUGGUGAAAUGCGUAGAUAUCCGGAGGAACACCGAAGGCGAAGGCAGCAUCCUGGGAAGUCUCUGACGCUCAGGGACGAAAGCUAGGGGAGCGAACGGGAUUAGAUACCCCGGUAGUCCUAGCCGUAAACGAUGACCACUAGACGUAAGAGGUAUCGACCCCCCUUGUGUCGCAGUUAACACGAUAAGUGGUCCGCCUGGGGAGUACGGUCGCAAGAUUAAA
rnacentral:rRNA from 1 species